GGUGUUUACUGUUUGCCCGGACGAUUUUGUUGGUUCGUUCAUGGUUCUCUUAACCGAGUGCCAUGAGUGGCCAGCACGUUUACUUUGAAAAAAUUGGAGUGCUCAAAGCAGGCGCUACAGCCUGAACAUUAGUGCAUGGAAUAAUGGAAUAGGAUCUCGGUUCUAUUUCGUUGGCUUUCGGAGUCGAGGUAAUGAUUAAUAGGGACAGACGGGGGCAUUCGUACUGCGACGUUAGAGGUGAAAUUCUUGGAUCGUCGCAAGACGAACUACUGCGAAAGCAUUUGCCAAGAAUGUUUUCAUUAAUCAAGAACGAAAGUUAGAGGUUCGAAGGCGAUCAGAUACCGCCCUAGUUCUAACCAUAAACGAUGUCGACCGGCGAUCCGCUUUCGUUAACUGAAUGACUAAGCGGGCAGCCUCCGGGAAACCAGAGUGUGUGGAUUCCUGGGGAAGUAUGGUUGCAAAGCUGAAACUUAAAGGAAUUGACGGAAGGGCACCACCAGGAGUGGAGCCUGCGGCUUAAUUUGACUCAACACGGGAAAUCUCACCAGGCCCGGACACCGGAAGGAUUGACAGAUUGAGAGCUCUUUCUUGAUUCGGUGGGUGGUGGUGCAUGGCCGUUCUUAGUUGGUGGAGCGAUUUGUCUGGUUAAUUCCGAUAACGAACGAGACUCUGGCCUACUAAAUAGACGUUGGAUCCCUUUGUGGGUCCAUCGCAGCUUCUUAGAGGGACGGGCGG
rnacentral:rRNA from 1 species